GACGAACGCUGGCGGCGUGCUUAACACAUGCAAGUCGAACGGAAAGGCCCUGCUUUUGUGGGGUGCUCGAGUGGCGAACGGGUGAGUAACGCGUGAGUAACCUGCCCUUGACUUUGGGAUAACUUCAGGAAACUGGGGCUAAUACCGGAUAGGAGCUCCUGCUGCAUGGUGGGGGUUGGAAAGUUUCGGCGGUUGGGGAUGGACUCGCGGCUUAUCAGCUUGUUGGUGGGGUAGUGGCUUACCAAGGCUUUGACGGGUAGCCGGCCUGAGAGGGUGACCGGCCACAUUGGGACUGAGAUACGGCCCAGACUCCUACGGGAGGCAGCAGUGGGGAAUAUUGCACAAUGGGCGGAAGCCUGAUGCAGCAACGCCGCGUGCGGGACGACGGCCUUCGGGUUGUAAACCGCUUUCGCCUGUGACGAAGCGUGAGUGACGGUAAUGGGUAAAGAAGCACCGGCUAACUACGUGCCAGCAGCCGCGGUGAUACGUAGGGUGCGAGCGUUGUCCGGAUUUAUUGGGCGUAAAGGGCUCGUAGGUGGUUGAUCGCGUCGGAAGUGUAAUCUUGGGGCUUAACCCUGAGCGUGCUUUCGAUACGGGUUGACUUGAGGAAGGUAGGGGAGAAUGGAAUUCCUGGUGGAGCGGUGGAAUGCGCAGAUAUCAGGAGGAACACCAGUGGCGAAGGCGGUUCUCUGGGCCUUUCCUGACGCUGAGGAGCGAAAGCGUGGGGAGCGAACAGGCUUAGAUACCCUGGUAGUCCACGCUGUAAACGGUGGGUACUAGGUGUGGGGUCCAUUCCACGGGUUCCGUGCCGUAGCUAACGCUUUAAGUACCCCGCCUGGGGAGUACGGCCGCAAGGCUAAAACUCAAAGGAAUUGACGGGGCCCCGCACAAGCGGCGGAGCAUGCGGAUUAAUUCGAUGCAACGCGUAGAACCUUACCUGGGUUUGACAUGGAUCGGGAGUGCUCAGAGAUGGGUGUGCCUCUUUUGGGGUCGGUUCACAGGUGGUGCAUGGCUGUCGUCAGCUCGUGUCGUGAGAUCUUGGGUUAAGUCCCGCAACGAGCGCAACCCUUGUUCACUGUUGCCAGCACGUUAUGGUGGGGACUCAGUGGAGACCGCCGGGGUCAACUCGGAGGAGGGUGGGGAUGACGUCAAGUCAUCAUGCCCCUUAUGUCCAGGGCUUCACGCAUGCUACAAUGGCUGGUACAGAGAGUGGCGAGCCUGUGAGGGUGAGCGAAUCUCGGGAAGCCGGUCUCAGUUCGGAUUGGGGUCUGCAACUCGACCUCAUGAAGUCGGAGUCGCUAGUAAUCGCAGAUCAGCAACGCUGCGGUGAAUACGUUCCCGGG
rnacentral:rRNA from 1 species